UCCAGGGUAGCUUAGUGGACAUGGCAUCUGCCCGGUAAGCGGAACACUGUGGGUUCGAUUCCCAUUCCUGGAC